CUUCGCAGUGUGUCAACACGUGUAAAAAAUUGAAUGAUGUUUUUAUUAGAAUUUGGAAUAUAUACUGCGCGUAUAAUUUACUGUGGUGGUUGUUCGUAGAUAUUGAGGUUCUGCACGUUAAGUACAGCUCCAAAAAACAUGUCAUUUAUUGGAUUUUGGCCAGGAAACUGUGCUUGUGAAACUGCCGGGUGGGUGGGGAGAGAAAUGUUCAUUUCGGAAGUGUUGACAGAAGUGCAUGAAACAGAUGGAGUUGCAGUAGAACAUGUUGCCAAAAGGCAGUCACGUGUGAGGGAAAAUCUGGACCACUGCUCCGGAAGAUAGAGUAUGGGUACUUUGCUCUUUGAAGUUUCCGUCAGUGCUUCCCACGAUGCUACGCAAUGUGACAGGCUCGUAUUCAUCAUCAUCAUUCUUGCGAAUGGAGAGCAGAUAUGUGGCAAGAUAUUCAUCUAGAUGGUCGACUGAUAAAUUGUGGAUUGCCUUCGUUUUGCCUUUCUUGGCAAGACAUUUUUGAAAUCGACUGACAUCUGCCAGUGUUUUCCGGAUAG